UACGUAGGCAGCAAGCGUUGUUCGGAGUUACUGGGCGUAAAGGGUGUGUAGGCGGUCGGAUAAGUGUGGUGUGAAAUCUCCCGGCUCAACUGGGAGGGUGCGCUACAAACUGUCUGGCUAGAGUGCGGGAUGGGAAAGUGGAAUUCCUGGUGUAGCGGUGAAAUGCGUAGAUAUCAUAAGGAACACCGGUGGCGAAGGCGGUUACCUGGAAGAUUCCUGACUCUGAAACACGAAAGCCAGGGGAGCAAACGGG
rnacentral:rRNA from 1 species